GAUGAACGCUGGCGGUAGGCUUAACACAUGCAAGUCGAGGGGCAGCACAAGGUGGCUUGCUCUCUGGGUGGCGACCGGCGCACGGGUGCGUCACGCGUAUGCAACUUGCCCUAUACAGGAGGAUAACCCGUCGAAAGACGGACUAAUACUGCGUAUGCUCACAACUUGGCAUCAAGUGGUGAGGAAAGAAAUUCGGUAUAGGAUAGGCAUGCGUCCCAUUAGCUUGUUGGUGAGGUAACGGCUCACCAAGGCAACGAUGGGUAGGGGAACCGAGCUGUUGAUCCCCCACACUGGUACUGAGACACGGACCCGACUCCGACGGGAGGCAGCAGAGUGGAAUAUUGGGCGAUGGGCGCGAGCCGGAACCAGCCAAGUCGCGUGAAGGAGGACUGUCUUAUGGAUUGUAAACUUCUUUUAUACGGGAAUAACAAGAGUCACGGGUGACUCCCUGCAUGUACCGUAUGAAUAAGCAUCGGCUAACUCCGUG
rnacentral:rRNA from 1 species